ACUCCUACGGGAGGCAGCAGUGGGGAAUAUUGCGCAAUGGGGGAAACCCUGACGCAGCAACGCCGCGUGUGUGAAGAAGGCUCUCGGGUCGUAAAGCACUGUCGAGAGGAACGAGCCGGCUGUCUUUAAUAGAGGCAGUCCCGACGGUACCUCUUGAGGAAGCACCGGCUAACUCCGUGCCAGCAGCCGCGGUAAUACGGAGGGUGCAAGCGUUGUUCGGAAUUAUUGGGCGUAAAGCGCGCGCAGGCGGGUCUCUAAGUCUGAUGUGAAAUCCCUCGGCUCAACCGAGGACGUGCAUUGGAUACUGGAGACCUUGAGUCCUGGAGAGGGAAGCGGAAUUCCCAGUGUAGAGGUGAAAUUCGUAGAUAUUGGGAGGAACACCGGUGGCGAAGGCGGCUUCCUGGACAGUGACUGACGCUGAGGCACGAAAGCGUGGGGAGCAAACAGGAUUAGAUACCCU
rnacentral:rRNA from 1 species